rnacentral:lncRNA from 1 species
AUGAAUGUGUCUUUUGUCCAGCUCGGCCGCCUCGGAUCUCACUGCCACCGGCCUUCACGCACACCCUCGCCACCAGCCUUUGCCCCGUCAGCCUCAGCCCCAGCUCAUUCUCUCAGGCAGUCCCAGCAUUGGCAUGGUACCUCCUCCCGCCGUGGGCCUCACGUCUCUGCUCCCUGUCAACCCUACUGCCAUCAGCAUCACCACAAGCGACUUGUCUGCCCAGGAGGAUGCAACACCAUCUACCUCUACCGGCCACCUUUCAGUGUUUUCUGCUUUCCAAGUAAAGACACCAGCAGUGCCCUCAGAGCGGACCAGCCAGAGAUUUUCCGAAGCCUCCCAUAUAGGCUCCUCCGUGGAGGAGGCCUGAGAUGCUGUCAUGACUUUGGAGCCAGGGUGGCCGACCACCUUGGCCUGGCCAUCUUUGGGGUGGGCUUUGGGAGCCCAGCACUGCUGCCGAGUGUGGUGGAUGAGAACGGCUGCUGCUUGCUGUACGUGGUGGAGCUGUGUGGCGUGGAGCGAGCCUUCAGAGCUGAGCAUUUGACCAACACCAGAGUGGUUCGGGAACAGGAUGCGGACAUUGUCCUCAACGACCAGCGGUACGGUUUCAGUUGUCAGCAGAGGUUCACUGAACACCUGCUGUGUGCCGGGCACCGUCCUGGGGGCUGGAGAAAUGGCUCUGAAUGCUGCAAAGCCCCCAUCCUUGUGCUGCUGAAUUGGGUGCAGAGGCAGCUGAGUAGAUCUCAAUACAUCAGUAGCAAUAAACUCUGUGGAGAGAACUCACGCCGUCGGGAGAGGGAGGCUGGUGGGAGCGCUGUUUUAGUUUUCUUCUGCUUAGAUAUGGCUGCCUUAAAAGAUGCAGACACUGUUAUGAUCAGCAUGAAGUUUCCCUGUGGGGCUAUGGUCAGCGUGGACGUCAGCCAGCACCGUACAGACAGCUGUGACCAGGGAUUGGAGGUGCGUGGGUCCCAAGGCGCGCUGCAGAUGGAGAAUCAGAAUCCCUUGGGCAUCACCGGGCGGGGCACGUCCCUGUCCCUCGGCUCCCAGACCCAGGCUAGCCGCUACCAGGACUCGUAUCGAGAGCUCUUCAGCUACUUUGUCAGAACCCUUAAAGGGAAAGAACCUCCUGAAAUCACCAAAGAGCAGUUCCUCAGGGUCUUCCGGGUGGCUGCGGCCACGGAGCAGUCGUGGUGGAGCCGGUCAGCUGUGGCCCUGCCCUGCGAAUCGGCAGAGGCCUCCGUGGUGAAGACAGAAGCUCCGUGA